rnacentral:lncRNA from 1 species
AAAAAGGAUAGCUGGGAUUGAAUGGCGUCUAGUUCUUCUUUGGCCUUUCUUAUUCUUUUAUCGACCCUACCAAAAACUUUGAAAUUCAAGGCUUUUAGCGCAGCUUUGACAAAUCGAAGCUUUUGGGCUACCUGCAACAUGGGGUUCCCCUGAACUUUAGUUUGCCAGGCCUCUUGCACUGUUUUCUAAAACGAAGGAUUCCUCGUUCACAUGUUAAUUCUUCUAAAAGCUUUCGGGCUCCUUUCAACAACAAGGCUGAGGUGAACAAUGAUAGAGGAGUGAUCGGAUAUCCUUGCAUUCACGAAAGAUAUUUUAAUAUCUUUAACCCUAGGGAGAAGGUCAUAAUUGAUGAAAGCCCGAUCGAGCUUGCAGGACACUCUUCUUCCCCCCAAGGUUCUGUUCGACCAGGUAAAAGAACCCCCUCUCUUCUCAGAGCCAGACCUGACAAAAUGAAAAUCCCCCAAAACUAGUCAAGGUAAAGUUAACCUAUCCGCAAAGUUAGAUAAUUCAUUCCACAAAUCCUUUCUUCUGUCUUCCCAAUUAUCCGCAUAGAUUCCCGUCACCACAAAUGAAAGAUAAUUUUCAGAUGUUGUACAAUAACAAUGGAAAAAUUGCUGGCUCUCUCUGAUCUUAGUAACCUGCAAGAUGUUAGUGUCCCAGCAUACCCAGAGUCUACUUUUAGGCGAAGUAUCAAAAUUACCAAUGAAAUCCCAAUUAGCACACCACUUGGAUUUUCUUCUAGUUACCGCUCCGUGGGAACCUAUACUUCGGAAUGGAAACUAAGUUGCAACGAAUCCCGUGCAAUUCCAUUUUUGCUCUCUGCAUUUAGCUCUUUUUUUUUUUUGAGUUCAAGCAUACUAUUGACUGAUAAUUGUGUAUAUAAUACGAAGAGUUCUGUCUUUCUUCAGUAAGAUAGUUGAUCGAGAAACCUCCGCCCAAAGGUGCUUUUUGAAAGCCGGUCACCGGUAGGCUAAGAACCUUUCUUACUAUUGAAGAAAGCUAGAACUCUGAAGUCUGCUUUGUUGCUCGUCCCACAGUAGGGGAGAGAAAGCACUUUUAUUCUUUUUUUUUUUUAAGUAAGAAAGCAGUCUACUCAUGUACUCUAGCUUCGGAUCUGGAGGGACAUGAAUGGAUGUUGGAACGGGUCCCGAGUCAACUGCAUGCGCUACUACUGCCUACCUAGCAGUCACCUCUGCUCCAAUACAUAAGCUCCAGCUGAAGUGUAGCAGCUCCGUCCCAUUCAUCACUGCUUUCUGUUAAAAAGAAAAGAGCUGCUCCUCUCCGAUCUCAGUCCUCUCUCUAGUCAGAAAUAGCGUAAGUUAAUCAGGAUGGAUCGACAGGCUUUCCAAACCUACUGGUCUCUUCCUCGAACCUAGCAUUGCUGCCUGGCCCAUCACCUUGAUAUGAUGCACACUCGGUAAGGUCUUACCAUUCCCCCUUAUCCAUAUUCUGGGAACCUCGGACGAUAGCUUUCCCCCGGAUCGGACGUCAGCUAAGGCCUUCUACCGCAGCGGACCCACAGGCCAAUGCCAAUCUCUCAGGGCAGGUUCUCUUUCAUCCGUCUUUCCUAGGUGCGCAUCUCCAUCUACUUUUAGUAGGGGUGGUUGCCAUAGAUAGAUUGGGGUCAUUCGUAACCAGAGCAAUAACCGAUGCUACAGCAUAAACUACAGCUAUACGUGGCGGCCCCACACGCUGCUUUGUUUAACAAGCGUCGCCCUUCCUUUCUUUUCCCAGUUUACCUACUCCAAACACGAAGAAUGUUAAGCCCCGCCUACAUCACCACUUUUGAAGGAGGAUCGGGAACCAGCUAAGGCACCGUAGCGUCCCCUAAAGGCGUAACUGACAGGUUCUGUUCUAUCUGCCCAUCCGAGUCAUCCCGUACUCCAAAAAAGCAGAGGUGAGGUCCGGAGAGUGGGACGGAUCUACCUGGCCAAGGUGCCAAUGUAAAGUGGUUCUCCGAUGAAAUAUGGCUCGUGCUUUCCGGGAAGGCAGGUCCGGUCAGUCAAAAGAAGAGGAGUCAGUUGAUCUCGAAGCCAAGGCCUUUUUUUUAAAGAUAUUUUUUUCCCAGUAGGGAUUCAUAUCGUAGUUGGCUUUCUCCCAGAGCACAACGAGAUCUGUUGGUAGAAAAGAUGCGGAUCGGAUGAUCAAGAUGGUUCGGGCUCCGCAUUGGCAUCAAGAGUACUACCCUUUUUUUUGGAGGCGCGGUUCCUCGAAUCCGGAUAAAAGAAAGAAGAAAUUCAUUUAGAGGUUGCUUAGCAUAGCAACGAAAGAAGCAUAAGAAGGAGAGGGAGAGUCCGGCGAGCUGCUAUUGGCUUGGAUGUAAAAGCAUUGGUUCUUCUUUUUUUAGGUUUUCUGCUUAUCUCGUGAGCCGGUUAGCUAAUGGAAUAGACAGAUGGAUUAGUGGCAACAGAAGGACUUGAUUACAGGUAUCUGCCUCUCGGGGUUCUUUAGACCAGCAGAUGGGAGAAGGUUAAGAAGGCUUAGUUUCUUGGUUCUACAAGGCCGGUAUCAAAGAGAUUUUGGCAUGGCACCUAAGUAACUCCGUUCUGGCCUAAUUGUAUUCGCUCUAGGCGUAGCGCGUCGUUUAGG